rnacentral:rRNA from 1 species
UUACGACUCUCGGCAACGGAUAUCUCGGCUCUCGCAUCGAUGAAGAACGUAGCGAAAUGCGAUACUUGGUGUGAAUUGCAGAAUCCCGCGAACCAUCGAGUCUUUGAACGCAAGUUGCGCCCGAGGCCUCUAGGUCGAGGGCACAUCUGCUUGGGCGUUAAACAAC